rnacentral:rRNA from 1 species
UACGUAGGGCGCAAGCGUUGUCCGGAAUUAUUGGGCGUAAAGAGCUCGUAGGCGGCCUGUUACGUCUGCUGUGAAAUCCCGGGGCUUAACCCCGGGCGUGCAGUGGAUACGGGCAGGCUGGAGGCAGGCAGGGGAGAACGGAAUUCCCGGUGUAGCGGUGAAAUGCGUAGAUAUCGGUAGGAACACCAGUGGCGAAGGCGGUCUCCUGGGGCAUUCUUGGACGCUGGAGGCGCGAAAGCUGGGGGAGCCGAACGGG